rnacentral:rRNA from 1 species
GAUGAACGCUAGCGGCAGGCCUAACACAUGCAAGUCGAGGGAGAAGCCCUUUCGGGGGCCGAAACCGGCGCACGGGUGCGUAACGCGUAUGCAACCUACCUUUCACAGGGGGAUAGCCCGAAGAAAUUUGGAUUAAUACCCCAUAAUAUUAUUGGAUGGCAUCAUUUGAUAAUUAAAACUGCGGUGGUGAAAGAUGGGCAUGCGUCCUAUUAGCUAGUUGGAGUGGUAACGGCACCCCAAGGCUACGAUAGGUAGGGGUCCUGAGAGGGAGAUCCCCCACACUGGUACUGAGACAGGGACCAGACUCCUACGGGAGGCAGCAGUGAGGAAUAUUGGUCAAUGGUCGGAAGACUGAACCAGCCAUGCCGCGUGCAGGAAGAAUGCCUUAUGGGUGGUAAACUGCUUUUAUAUGGGAAGAAUAAGGCGUACGUGUACGUUGAUGACGGUACCAUAUGAAUAAGCAUCGGCUAACUCCGUG